CGAUGACAAGUACCAACCUGCGACAUUUACGCCAAGACAGCAAAGAGUUAAAAAAAAAAAAAGCACCAACAUUUCGGCUAAACUUGAGAUUUUAUGGCUCUCGGCUGUUUAAGACUAAAUUUUGCGAAUCAGCCAUCAAGUCGCCACAAUUUGUUAUAUAGUAAAUUAACCCCAUCGCAUGCAGGAGACAUUUCAUUGGCCUGCUCAGUACAAUCUGUAUCUAGACCAGAGACAAAGAAUCUAGAACAAUG